rnacentral:misc_RNA from 1 species
UUGUUAAUGGCUAGUAUAUUUGGGAAGCAUAAACAAAUGCAAUUUUAUGAGCAUUAACUUAAUAGUCAUGCAUCAGUUUAGUUGUCCCUUUUGAAAAAAAUUAAUAAAUGCAAUUUUUUUGAACAUUGGCUUUACCUUAGUUUAAAAUCCUUCACCAUAAAUGUGAUUGUUGAGAUUUUCUCAAUAUGCAGUACCUGCGAAAGACUCUACGGCUAAGAUUUGAAGAAGGGGUUCAAAUGCUCAAGGAAGCAGGAGUGGAAG